rnacentral:rRNA from 1 species
GGGGGGGCAAGCGUUUGUUCGGAUUUACUGGGCGUAAAGGGCUCGUAGGCGGCCAUCUAAGUCGGUUGUGAAAUCCCUCGGCUCAACCGGGGAACUGCGACCGAUACUGGAUGGCUUGAAGCCGGGAGAGGGAUGCGGAAUUCCAGGUGUAGCGGUGAAAUGCGUAGAUAUCUGGAGGAACACCCGUGGCGAAGGCGGCAUCCUGGACCGGUCUUGACGCUGAGGAGCGAAAGCUAGGGUAGCAAACGGGAUUAGAUACCCCGGGUAGUCCUAGCCCUAAACGAUGAAUGCUUGGUGUGGCGGGUAUCGAUCCCCUGCCGUGCCGUAGCUAACGCGUUAAGCAUUCCGCCUGGGGAGUACGGUCGCAAGGCUG